rnacentral:rRNA from 1 species
UACGGAGGGUGCAAGCGUUAUCCGGAAUGAUUGGGCGUAAAGAGCUCGUAGGCGGUGUGUUACGUCGGCCGUGAAAACCUGCAGCUUAACUGUGGGCGUGCGGUCGAUACGGGCAUCACUGGAGUUCGGCAGGGGAGACUGGAAUUCCUGGUGUAGCGGUGAAAUGCGCAGAGAUCAGGAGGAACACCGGUGGCGAAGGCGGGUCUCUGGGCCGAUACUGACGCUGAGGAGCGAAAGCGUGGGGAGCGAACAGG